UACGAAGGGGGCUAGCGUUGCUCGGAAUCACUGGGCGUAAAGCGCACGUAGGCGGAUUGUUAAGUCAGGGGUGAAAUCCUGGAGCUCAACUCCAGAACUGCCUUUGAUACUGGCGAUCUUGAGUCCGGGAGAGGUGAGUGGAACUGCGAGUGUAGAGGUGAAAUUCGUAGAUAUUCGCAAGAACACCAGUGGCGAAGGCGGCUCACUGGCCCGGUACUGACGCUAAGGCGCGAAAGCGUGGGGAGCGAACAGG
rnacentral:rRNA from 1 species